rnacentral:rRNA from 1 species
CGUGCGGGAAGAAGGCCCUAGGGUUGUAAACCGCUUUCAGCAGGGAAGAAACUGACGGUACCUGCAGAAGAAGGUGCGGCCAACUACGUGCCAGCAGCCGCGGUGAUACGGAGGGUGCAAGCGUUGUCCGGAAUUAUUGGGCGUAAAGAGCUCGUAGGCGGUUCGGUAAGUCGGGUGUGAAAACUCUGGGCUCAACCCAGAGCCGCCACCCGAUACUGCUGUGACUUGAGUUCGGUAGGGGAGCGGGGAAUUCCUGGUGUAGCGGUGAAAUGCGUAGAGAUCUGGAGGAAUACCAGUGGCGAAGGCGGCCAUCUGGCCAGACUGACGCUGAGGACCCUGGACAAACUGACGCUGAGGCUCGAAAGCGUGGGGAGCAAACAGGAUUAGAUACCUGGUAGUCCACGCCGUAAACGUUGGGCACUAGGUGUGGGGACCAUUCCACGUUUGGGAUCCGUGCCGUAGCUAACGCAUUAAGUAUGCCGGAGCUAACGCGUUAAACGCGCCACCUGGGAAGUACGAUCGCAAGACUUGAACUGGGAGUACGUUCGCAAGAACGAAAACUCUUGGAAAUUGACGGGGGCCCGCACAAGCGGUGGAGCAUGUGGUUUAAUUCGAUGCAACGCGAAGAACCUUACCUGGCCUUGACAUGCCUUGACCGAUGCAGAGAUGCAUUUUUCCUUUCGGGGACAGCGGCACAGGUGCUGCAUGGCUGUCGUCAGCUCGGUCGUGAGAUGUUGGUUUAAGUCCCGCAACGAGCGCAACCCUUACAGUCCCGCAACGAGCGCAACCCUCGUGGUCCCGUAACGAGGCAACCCUUGUUCACUGUUGCCAGCACGUUAUGGUGGGGACUCAGAGGAACCGCCGGUGACAAGUCGGAGGAAGGCGGGGAAUGACGUCAAAUCAUCAUGCCCCUUAUGUCCAGGGCUACACGCAUGCUACAAUGGCCGGUACAGAGGGCUGCGAUCCCGUGAGGGUGAGCGAAUCCCAAAAAGCCGGUCUAGUUCGGAUUGGGGUCUGCAACUCGACCCCGGAAGCGAACGCUAGUAAUCGCAGACGAUCAGAUGUGCGGUGAAUACGUU